rnacentral:lncRNA from 1 species
UCCUAUUUUAUCCUUUUCCUACCUGUGAUCUCAUGUCUCUACAAGGGCAUCCCCUACAACGGGUGUGUAGGACCAGGAGGAAAGGAGCAGGGCCAGCAGGGUAUGUGUCCUGAGAAAAGGUGCUGCACCUGCACCUGGGGUGGUGUCUGUUCAGCCCUGGGUCCCUGGCCGAGGCACAUGGCUGUGUCUGUGAAAGGAAGGGCAGAGGUGACCCCCCAGGGCCCAGGCUGAUAGGCAGGACCUGGGCUCUGGUUUGGGCCGAGCUGCAGACACACCGGGCUGCUUCCUCUUUCCUAGGGCUCAGACCUUCUCCGCUGUUUGUGAAACCUGCUCCUGUGGAUGUCCUGCCAUACCUCAGAAGAGCUCCUGUGGGUACCCCGAUCUGGGGGAGCCAGGUCAGCUGAGGAAACAAGUCUGUUAAGAGCCCCAGAAAGUGGAAAUGGAGAAUCACAAGAUUCACAAGAUGAGAAUCACCUUUGCACAGGACAAGGGGAGAUCAUAGCGACUCCUCAGACCCAAAGCAGGCUGACAAGGAGGUAAAGCGGCUUUGCUUUUUUGUGGGACCCAAGUAUGCUCAGUGAGUGAGCUGAUUAUUUUCUGCUGAUUAGAGUGGAAAAAGAAAUGGCAUUUAUUUGUGGAAACAAACUUGCAGAAGCAGAGGUGAGCGGGAUUCUUCAGUGAGUGGGUCAUUGAUGCUGGCCUCAAGGCUUUCGGCCCGUCCUCGGUGACUCCCAGCUACAGGCAAGACCCAGCAGCAGAAGAACCCUGGGAACAGACUGUGUCCCCAGACCCUGGCUGCCUCCAGGGAUGUUCUUUCUAAUGCACCCAGAACACAAAUCACAUGGCUUCACCGUGACAGUUAUAAAUUUCAUCCACCAUGGAGAGUUGGAGGCAGGCGAUUUGUUGGGUCCAAGUCAAAGGUUACAAAAGAAUUCUUCAGAUUUGGGUGAUUUCCACACCUAUUAGGUAAGUUUAAACAUAUCCUUUUGCUUCUAAGGAAAACAGCUUGUAAAAUACUUGGGAGCUCUGGGGACAUCAAACAGCUCUUCG